rnacentral:piRNA from 1 species
UGAACAAUGAGAACACACGGACCUAGGGAGU